ensembl:lncRNA
CUCUGGAGCUAGUGAGGGACAAAAAGGAGUGAGCUCUUCUGAUCCUGGCAGAACAUAAGCUGAACAAGCUGUGGGGGAGCAGUAAAUUUUUUUUCUUUUGCAGGGCUGUUGUAGGAGGAGUGAAAAAGAAUACUGCCCUGGAGGGUAAUCUACUGUGAAGAUAUCUCCUAAUGCAAGACUAAUCUGAAAAGCAAGAUGAAUCAAACCUUCCAGUGUUUGCCCCUUUAUUUUCUUCCUGUUAAGAGGGCUCAGGCUCCUUCCUACUUGAUGCACAUGGCAUUCCAGAAGAUGAUUUGGGAAGCACCAGAGAAGAUCAACUGCACUAUCCAUUUUAUAAAUUGGUCCUCAGGCACAGAGAACUGCAGGCAAACCCAUACAAGCUGACCCCAGGUCUCAAGCACAGUCCUGCCAGUCACACAGCACUCUUAUCAAGACUAGAGCAUUGCGAGGUGCAACAUAACAGGGAGGGAUUUGUCUGGCAAUGGAGGAGUCAUAUGGUAGCGCUUAGCUGGUUUGGUUACUCUUGAAAGCUGCUGCAAGUGAUAAUUCGCAUGUGCGCCAGGAGCUGUCACUAGAUAGACACCCACACCUCUGGGUGUGAGACA